rnacentral:tRNA from 1 species
ACUCAGCUGGUUAGAGUGAAAAACUUUUAAUUUUUUGGUCGUGAGUUCGAGUCUCACU